GAUGAAGAACGCAGCGAAAUGCGAUACGUAGUGUGAAUUGCAGAAUUCAGUGAAUCAUCGAAUCUUUGAACGCACAUUGCACCGCUCGGUAAUCCGGGAGGUAUGCCUGUUCGAGCGUCAUUUGUACCCUCAAGCUCUGCUUGGUGUUGGGUGUUUGUUCCGCCUCUGUGUGUGAACUCGCCUCAAAACAAUUGGCAGCCGGCGUACUUGUUUCGGAGCGCAGCACAUUUUGCGAUCCAGAUCAACGUACAGCGGCAUCCAAGAAGCCUUAUUUAACGCUCUUGACCUCGGAUCAGGUAGGGAUACCCGCUGAACUUAAGCAUAUCAAUAAGCGGAGGA
rnacentral:misc_RNA from 1 species